rnacentral:tRNA from 1 species
CGACGUGCUGGGCUACGCCACGGCCGCGCCGCUGGCCUCGGCGGCGGCCGGCAUCGCGGGGCUCGGCGCCCUCACGGCGCCC